GCGGUUUGUGGUUAAGCGGAGGGAUCAUUACCGAGUUUACAACUCCCAAACCCCUGUGAACAUACCUUUAUGUUGCCUCGGCGGAUCAGCCCGCGCCCCGUAAAACGGGACGGCCCGCCGCAGGAACCACAAAACUCUGAUUUUAGUGUAACUUCUGAGUCUAAAAAACAAAUAAAUCAAAACUUUCAACAACGGAUCUCUUGGUUCUGGCAUCGAUGAAGAACGCAGCAAAAUGCGAUAAGUAAUGUGAAUUGCAGAAUUCAGUGAAUCAUCGAAUCUUUGAACGCACAUUGCGCCCGCCAGUAUUCUGGCGGGCAUGCCUGUUCGAGCGUCAUUUCAACCCUCAAGCCCCCGGGUUUGGUGUUGGGGAUCGGGCUGUACUCCAGCCCGGCCCCGAAAUCUAGUGGCGGUCUCGCUGCAGCCUCCAUUGCGUAGUAGCUAACACCUCGCAACUGGAACGCGGCGCGGCCAAGCCGUUAAACCCCCAACUUCUGAAUGUUGACCUCGGAUCAGGUAGGAAUACCCGCUGAACUUAAGCAUAUCAAUAAGCGGAGGAA
rnacentral:rRNA from 1 species